GACAGAGGAUGCAAGCGUUAUCCGGAAUGAUUGGGCGUAAAGCGUCUGUAGGUGGCUUUUCAAGUCCGCCGUCAAAUCCCAGGGCUCAACCCUGGACAGGCGGUGGAAACUGCCAAGCUGGAGUACGGUAGGGGCAGAGGGAAUUUCCGGUGGAGCGGUGAAAUGCGUAGAUAUCAUUUGGAACGCCAAUGGUGAAAACAGGUAGCUGGGAGUGUGCUGACGCUGAGACACGAAAGCCAGGGGAGCGAACGGG
rnacentral:rRNA from 1 species